GAUGAACGCUGGCGGCGUGCCUAAUACAUGCAAGUCGAGCGAAUGGAUUAAGAGCUUGCUCUUAUGAAGUUAGCGGCGGACGGGUGAGUAACACGUGGGUAACCUGCCCAUAAGACUGGGAUAACUCCGGGAAACCGGGGCUAAUACCGGAUAACAUUUUGAACCGCAUGGUUCGAAAUUGAAAGGCGGCUUCGGCUGUCACUUAUGGAUGGACACGCGUCGCAUUAGCUAGUUGGUGAGGUAACGUCUCACCAAGGCAACGAUGCGUAGCCGACCUGGGAGGGUGAUCGGCCACACUGUGACUGAGACACGGCCCAGACUCCUACGGGAGGCAGCAGUAGGGAAUCUUCCGCAAUGGACGAAAGUCUGACGGAGCAACGCCGCGUGAGUGAUGAAGGCUUUCGGGUCGUAAAACUCUGUUGUUAGGGAAGAACAAGUGCUAGUUGAAUAAGCUGGCACCUCGACGGUACCUAACCAGAAAGCCACGGCUAACUACGUGCCAGCAGCCGCGGUAA
rnacentral:rRNA from 1 species